rnacentral:rRNA from 1 species
AGAGUUUGAUCCUGGCUCAGAUUGAACGCUGGCGGCAUGCUUUACACAUGCAAGUCGGACGGCAGCACAGAGAAGCUUGCUUCUUGGGUGGCGAGUGGCGAACGGGUGAGUAAUAUAUCGGAACGUACCGAGUAAUGGGGGAUAACUAAUCGAAAGAUUAGCUAAUACCGCAUAUUCUCUGAGGAGGAAAGCAGGGGACCUUCGGGCCUUGCGUUAUUCGAGCGGCCGAUAUCUGAUUAGCUAGUUGGUGGGGUAAAGGCCUACCAAGGCGACGAUCAGUAGCGGGUCUGAGAGGAUGAUCCGCCACACUGGGACUGAGACACGGCCCAGACUCCUACGGGAGGCAGCAGUGGGGAAUUUUGGACAAUGGGCGCAAGCCUGAUCCAGCCAUGCCGCGUGUCUGAAGAAGGCCUUCGGGUUGUAAAGGACUUUUGUCAGGGAAGAAAAGGCUGUUGCUAAUACCGACAGCUGAUGACGGUACCUGAAGAAUAAGCACCGGCUAACUACGUGCCAGCAGCCGCGGUAAUACGUAGGGUGCGAGCGUUAAUCGGAAUUACUGGGCGUAAAGCGAGCGCAGACGGUUACUUAAGCAGGAUGUGAAAUCCCCGGGCUCAACCUGGGAACUGCGUUCUGAACUGGGUGACUAGAGUGUGUCAGAGGGAGGUAGAAUUCCACGUGUAGCAGUGAAAUGCGUAGAGAUGUGGAGGAAUACCGAUGGCGAAGGCAGCCUCCUGGGAUAACACUGACGUUCAUGCCCGAAAGCGUGGGUAGCAAACAGGAUUAGAUACCCUGGUAGUCCACGCCCUAAACGAUGUCAAUUAGCUGUUGGGCAACUUGAUUGCUUAGUAGCGUAGCUAACGCGUGAAAUUGACCGCCUGGGGAGUACGGUCGCAAGAUUAAAACUCAAAGGAAUUGACGGGGACC